AGAGUUUGAUUAUGGCUCAGAACGAACGCUGGCGGCGCGUUUUAAGCAUGCAAGUCGAGCGGCAAGGGUCUUCGGGCCCCUAGAGCGGCGGACGGGUGAGUAACACGUGGACAAUCUGCCCCCCGGCCGGGGAUAGCCCAGGGAAACCUGGAUUAAUACCGGAUGAGACGGGACCCGCGGAGGCGGGAUCCGGGAAAGGCGCUGCGGCGCCGCCGGGGGAUGAGUCUGCGUCCCAUUAGCUUGACGGCGGGGUAACGGCCCACCGUGGCGACGAUGGGUAGCCGGCCUGAGAGGGUGGACGGCCACAUUGGAACUGAGACACGGUCCAGACUCCUACGGGAGGCAGCAGCUAAGAAUCUUCCGCAAUGGGCGAAAGCCUGACGGAGCGACGCCGCGUGAACGAAGAAGGCCGUGAGGUUGUAAAGUUCUUUUCGGGAGGGGGAACAACCGUGGCAGGGAAUGGCCGCGGGAUGACGUGAAUCCCGGAAUAAGCCCCGGCUAACUACGUGCCAGCAGCCGCGGUAACACGUAGGGGGCGAGCGUUGCUCGGAAUCAUUGGGCGUAAAGGGCGUGCAGGCGGUCCUGCAAGUCCGGCGUGAAAGACCCCGGCCCAACCGGGGGGGCGCGCUGGAAACUGCAGGGCUUGAGUACAGGAGGGGAUGCCGGAAUUCCAGGUGUAGGGGUGAAAUCUGUAGAUAUCUGGAGGAACACCAAUGGCGAAGGCAGGCAUCUGGCCAUGUACUGACGCUGAGACGCGAAAGUGCGGGGAGCAAACAGGAUUAGAUACCCUGGUAGUC
rnacentral:rRNA from 1 species